rnacentral:rRNA from 1 species
UUCCAGCUCCAAUAGCGUAUAUUAACGUUGUUGCAGUUAAAAAGCUCGUAGUUGAAGUGAGGGAGUGUGUGUUCAUGACAGCUAGUCUCGAGUGUUCACAACCUCCCCCCUCCAAUCGGUGUAGUGGGGUAUUCAGUUAUUUCACUACUCCUUUGGUCGUUUACUGUGAGAAAAUUAGAGUGUUCAAAGCGGGCGUUUGUUUGAAUAGAUUAGCAUGGAAUAAUGAUUGAAGGCUUUCGUGUUCGAUUUGAUUGGUUUGUUCAUGGAAGCAAGGUUAAAAGGAACAGUUGGGGGUAUUCAUAUUCACUAGUUAGAGGUGAAAUUCUCGGAUUUAUGGAAGAUGAACAGGUGCGAAAGCAUUUACCAAGGAUGUUUUCAUUAAUCAAGAACGAAAGCUAGGGGAUCGAAGAGGAU